rnacentral:ncRNA from 2 species
AGCGAAACCGCGAGGUCAAGCAAAUCCCAUAAAGUUGUUCUCAGUUCGGAUUGUAGUCUGCAACUCGACUACAUGAAGCUGGAAUCGCUAGUAAUCGUAGAUCAGCAUGCUACGGUGAAUACGUUCCCGGGUCUUGUACACACCGCCCGUCACACCACGAGAGUUUGUAACACCCGAAGCCGGUGGAGUAACCUUUUAGGAGCUAGCCGUCGAAGGUGGGACAAAUGAUUGGGGUGAAGUCGUAACAAGGUAGCCGUAUCGGAAGGUGCGGCUGGAUCACCUCCUUU